rnacentral:lncRNA from 1 species
UGGGGAAUUUGGGUGGAGUGGCAGGUGGAAAUCUCACCGGUGAAGCUAGCGCUGGGAAAUUGCCACCAGACGGGUGGAAAUCGCACUGGUGCAGCUUGGUGGAGAAAAGCCAGGUAGAAAUCCCACCGGUGGAGUUUGGGUGGAGUUGCGGGCGGAAAUCCCACCGGCGAAGCUAGUAUUGGAAAUGGGUUGCCAGCAGACAGGCAGAAAUCCCACUGGUGCAGCUCCCUGGGAAAAGCCAGGUAGAAAUCCCACCGGUGGAGUUUGGGUGGAGCUGCGGGCAGAAAUCCCACCGCGAGUUAGCGCUUGGAAAUUGCCUGCCAGGGUGACCAGAAGACAGGCAGAAAUUGCAAUGGUAAAGCUAGUAUUGGGGAAAACGGCCUGCAGUUCUUGAGAGAAAGUAGGCAGGCAGGAAUCACACCGGUGCAGCUCGGUGGGGAAAAGCCAGGUAGAAAUUCCCCUGGUGGAGUUUGGAUGCAGGGGAUACCGGGCGGAAAUCCCACCGGCGAAGCUAGCGCUGGGAUAUUGCCAGGAGACAGGCAGAAAUCGCAAUGGUGCAGCUAGUAUUGGGAAUUUGGGUGGAGUGGCAGGCGGAAAUCUCACCGGCGAAGCUAGCGCUGGGAAACGGUUUGCCAACAGACGGGCAGGAAUCCCACUGAUGCAGCUUUGUGGGAAAAGCCAAAGCAGGGCUUUGCCAGGCAGGAAUCGCACCGGUGCAGCUUGGUGGGGGAAAGCCAGGUAGAAAUCCCACUGGUGGAGUUUGGAUGGCGUUGCGGGCGGAAAUCCCACUGGAGUAGCUAGCGCUGGGAAAUUGCCAGGAGACGGGCAGAAAUCGCAAUGGUGCAGUUAGUAUUGGGGGGAAACGGCCUGCAGUUCUCAAGGUUGCCAGCCGAGGAAGGCAGCAGGCAGGAAUAACACUGGUUCAGCUCAGUGGGGGAAAGCCAGGUAGAAAUCCCCCCGGUGGAGUUUGGGUGGCGUUCGGGCGGAAAUCCCACCGGCGAAGCUAGCGCUGGGAAUCGGGUUGCCAGCAGACGGGCGGAAACCGCACCGGUGCAGCUAGUAUUGGGAAUCCGGAUUGACGGCCUGCAGUUCUCAAGGUGGCCAGCAGACGGGCGGAAAUCCAACCGGCGAAGCUCGCCCUGGGAAUGGGUUGCCAGGCUGCCCAGCAGACGGGCAGAAAUCCCACUGGUGCAGCUAGUAUUGCUGGCCGCCUUAGUAAGUUCCCAAGCAGGCCAAAGCAGCGCUUUGCCAGGCAGGAUUCCCACCGGUGCAGCGCGGUGGGGAAAGCCAGGUAGAAAUCCCACCGGUGGAGUUUGGGUGGAGCUGCGGGCGGAAAUCCCACUGGUGAAGCUAGCACUGGGAAAGGGGUUGCAAGGCUUGCCAACAGACGGGCAGAAAUCCAAGCGGUGAAGCUAGCGCUGGGAAAUUGCCAGGAGACAGGCAGAAAUCGCAAUGGUGCAGCUAGUCUUGGGAAUUUGGGUGGAGUUGCAGGCGGAAAUCCCACCGGCGAAGCUAGCCCUUGGAAAUGGGUUGCCAGGGUUGCUAAAAGACGGGCGGAAAUCCCACUGGGGAAGCUAGUAUUGGAAAUGGGUUGCCAGCAGACAGGCAGAAAUCCCACUGGUGCAGCUCCCUGGGAAAAGCCAGGUAGAAAUCCCACCGGUGGAGUUUGGGUGGAGCUGCGGGCAGAAAUCCCACCGGCGAAGUUAGCGCUUGGAAAUUGCCUGCCAGGGUGACCAGAAGACAGGCAGAAAUUGCAAUGGUAAAGCUAGUAUUGGGGAAAACGGCCUGCAGUUCUUGAGAGAAAGUAGGCAGGCAGGAAUCACACCGGUGCAGCUCGGUGGGGAAAAGGCAGGUAGAAAUCCCACCGGUGGAGUUUGGAUGCAGGGGAUACCGGGCGGAAAUCCCACCGGCGAAGCUAGCGCUGGGCUAUUGCCAGGAGACAGGCAGAAAUCGCACUGGUGCAGCUAGUAUUGGGAAUUUGGGUGGAGUGGCAGGCGGAAAUCUCACCGGCGAAGCUAGCGCUGGGAAAGGGGCUGCCAGCAGACGGGCGGAAAUCGCACCGGUGCAGCUAGUAUUGGGAAUUUGGGUGGACGGUCUGCAAUUCUCAAGGUUGCCAGCUGAGGAAGGAAGCAGGCAGGAAUCACACUGGUGCAGCUCGGUGGGGGGAAAGCCAGGUAGAAAUCCCACCGGUGGAGUUUGGGUGGAGUUGCGGGCGGAAAUACCACGGGUUGAGCUAGCGCUGGGAAAGGGUUUGCCAGGAGACAGGCAGAAAUCGCAAUGGUGCAGCUACUAUGGGAAAUUUGGGUGGAGUGGCGGGCGGAAAUCUCACCGGCGAAGCUAGCGCUGGGAAACGGGCUGCCAGCAGACGGGCGGAAAUCGCACUGGUGCAGCUCGGUGGGGAACAGCCAGGUAGAAAUCCCACUGGUGGAGUUUGGAUGGCGUUCCAGGCGGAAAUCCCACGGGUGAAGCUAGCAUUGGGAAAGGGUUUGCCAGCAGACGGGCGGAAAUCCCACUGGUGCAGCUUGGUGGGAAAAGCCAAAGCAGGGCUUUGCCAGGCAGGAAUAACACUGGUGCAGCUCGGUGGGAAAAGCCAGGUAGAAAUCCCACAGAUGGAGUUUGGAUGGCGUUCCAGGCCGAAAUCCCACUGGAGAAGCUAGCCCUGGGAAAUGUGUUGCCAGCAGACGGGCAGAAGUCCAACCGGUGAAGCUAGUGCUGGGAAAUUGCCAGGAGACGGGCAGAAAUCGCAAUGGUGCAGCUAGCAUUGGGAAUUUGGGUGGAGUGGCAGGCGGAAAUCCCACCGGCAAAGCUAGCGCUGGGAAAUUGCCAGGAGACGGGCAGAAAUCGCACUGGUGCAGCUAGUAUUGGGGAAACGGGCUGCAGUUCUCAAGGUUGCCAGCCGAGGAAGGAAGCAGGCAGGAAUAACACCGGUGCAGCUCGGUUGGGAAAAGCCAGGUAGAAAUCCCACCGGUGGAGUUUGGAUGCAGAGGAUUACGGGCGGAAAUCCCACGGGUGAAGUUAGCUCUGGGAAAUUGCCAGGAGACAGGUAGAAAUCGCACCGGUGCAGCUUGGUGGAGAAAAGCCAGGUAGAAAUCCCCCCGGUGGAGUUUGGAUGGCGUUCCAGGCGGAAAUCCCACUGGUGUAGUUUGCGCUGGGAAAUGGCCAGGAGACAGGUAGGAAUCGCACCGGUGCAGCUUGGUGGAGAAAAGCCAGGUAGAAAUCCCCCCGGUGGAGUUUGGAUGCAGAGGAUUACGGGCGGAAAUCCCACGGGUGAAGUUAGCUCUGGGCAUUUGGGUGGAGGGUCUGCAGUUCUCAAGCUGGCCAGCGGACGGGCAGAAAUCUUAAUGGUGCAGCUAUGAUUAAGAAUUGGGGGGGGCGGCCUGCAGUUCCCAAGGUGGCCGGAAGACGGGCGGAAAUCCCACCGGUGCAGCUACUAUUGCUGGCAACCUUGGGCAGGCGGAAGCAGUGCCUUGCCAGGCAGGAAUCGCACCGGUGCAGCUCAGUGGGGGAAAAGCCAGGUAGAAAUCCCCUUGGUGGAGUUUGGGGUGGAGUUGCGGGCGGAAAUCCCACCGGGGAAGCUAGUGCUGGGAAUUGGGGUGGAGUUGCAGGCAGAAAGCCCACCGGUGAAGCUAGCGCUGCGAAGUUGCCGGGAGACGGGCGGAAAUCCCACCGGCGAAGCUAGCGCUGGGAAAUGGCCACCAGACGGGCGGAAAUCGCACUGGUGCAGCUACUAUUGGGAAUUGGGGUGGAGUGGCAGGCGGAAAUCCCACCGGCGAAGCUAGCGCUGGGAAAUUGCCACCAGACGGGCGGAAAUCGCACUGGGGCAGCUAGUAUUGGGAAUUUGGGUGGAGUGGCAGGCGGAAAUCUCACCGGUGAAGCUAGCGCUGGGAAAUUGCCAGCAGACGGGCGGAAAUCGCACUGGUGCAGCUACUAUUGGGAAUCUGUGUGGAGUGGCAGGCGGAAAUCUCACCGGUGAAGCUAGCGCUGGGAAAUGGGCUGCCAGCAGACGGGCGGAAAUCGCACUGGUGCAGCUAGUAUUGGGAAUUUGGGUGGAGUGGCAGGCGGAAAUCCCACCGGUGAAGCUAGCGCUGGGAAAUGGGCUGCCAGCAGACGGGCGGGAAUCGCACUGGUGCAGCUACUAUUGGGAAUUUGGGUGGAGUGGCAGGCAGAAACCCAACCGGUGAAGCUAGCGCUGGGAAGUUGCCGGGAGACGGGCGGAAAUCCCGCCGGUGAAGCUCGCAUUGCUGGCAACCUUCGUCGGUUCCCAACUUGCCAGUGCUUUGCCAGGCAGGAAUCCCACCGGAGCAGCUUGCUGGGAAAAGCCAGGUAGAAAUCCCACCGGUGGAGUUCGGACGCAGCGGGUUACGGGCGGAAAUGGCACCGGUGCAGCUGGUAUGGGGAAUUCCAGGAAGGAAGAAGGCAGGAAUCACACCGGUGCAGCUCGGUGGGAAAAGCCAGGUAGAAAUCCAACCGGUGGAGUUUGGCUGGAUUUCCAGGUGGCAAUCACACCAGUGAAGCUAGAGCUGGCAAAUGGGUUGCCAGCAGACAGGCGGAAAUCACACCGGGGCAGCUUGGUGGGAAAAGCCAAAGCAGGGCUUUGCCAGGCAGGAAUCACACCGGUCUAGCUUGGUGGGGGGAAAAGCCAGGUAGAAAUCCCACCGGUGGAGUUCCAGGCGGAAAUCCCACUGGUGUAGUUUGCGCUGGGAAAUGGCCAGGAGACAGGUAGAAAUCGCACCAGUGCAGCUUGGUGGAGAAAAGCCAGGUAGAAAUUCCCCCGGUGGAGUUUGUAUGCAGAGGAUUGUGGGCGGAAAUCCCACUGGUGAAGUUUGCGCUGGGAAAUUGCCAGGAGACAGGUAGGAAUCGCACCGGUGCAGCUUGGUGGAGAAAAGCCAGGUAGAAAUUCCCCCGGUGGAGUUUGGAGGCAGAGGAUUACGGGCGGAAAUCCCACUGGUGAAGUUUGCGCUGGGAAAUGGCCAGGAGACAGGUAGAAAUCGCACCGGUGCAGCUUGGUGGAGAAAAGCCAGGUAGAAAUCCCCCUGGUGGAGUUUGGAUGCAGAGGAUUCCGGGCGGAAAUCCCACGGGUGAAGUUAGCUCAGGCAUUUGGGUGGAGGGUCUGCAGUUCUCAAGCUGGCCAGAAGACGGGCAGAAAUCUUAAUGGUGCAGCUAUGAUUAAGAAUUGGGGGGGCGGCCUGCAGUUCCCAAGGUGGCCGGAAGACGGGCGGAAAUCCCACCGGUGCAGCUACUAUUGCUGGCAACCUUGGGCAGGCGGAAGCAGUGCCUUGCCAGGCAGGAAUCGCACCGGUGCAGCUCAGUGGGGGGGAAAGCCAGGUAGAAAUCCCCUUGGUGGAGUUUGGGUGGAGUUGCGGGCGGAAAUCCCACCGGCGAAGCUAGUGCUGGGAAUUUGGGUGGAGUUGCAGGCAGAAAGCCAACCGGUGAAGCUAGCGCUGCGAAGUUGCCGGGAGACGGGCGGAAAUCCCACCGGCGAAGCCAGCGCUGGGAAAUGGCCACCAGACGGGCGGAAAUCGCACUGGUGCAGCUACUAUUGGGAAUUGGGGUGGAGUCGCAGGCAGAAACCCAACUGGUGAAGCUAGUGCUGGGAAGUGGGUUGCCAGGGUGGCCAGCAGACAGGCGGAAAUCGCACUGGUGCAGCUACUAUUGGGAAUUGGGGUGGAGUUGCAGGCAGAAACCCAACCGGUGCAGCUAGCGCUGUGAAGUUGCCGGGAGACGGGCGGAAAUCCCGCCGGUGAAGCUCGCAUUGCUGGCAACCUUCGUCGGUUCCCAACUUGCCAGUGCUUUGCCAGGCAGGAAUCCCACCGGAGCAGCUUGCUGGGAAAAGCCAGGUAGAAAUCCCACCGGUGGAGUUCGGACGCAGCGGGUUACGGGCGGAAAUGGCACCGGUGCAGCUGGUAUUGGGAAUCCCAGGAAGGAAGAAGGCAG